GCCCAUCUCUGAGUCAUCCUUGGACAGGAGAGAUCCCAGAGGGUAAACAGGACAUGAGCCUGCAGUGAGGGGAGACAGAGGAGGAGAGAACUCCCUGAAACAAGAGGAGAGGAGGAGCUGGUGGGGAGGACACAGGCUCUGCAGUCCCAGGGAUUCACAGUGUUAGUUGAUCUCCGGGAGACACUAGUUCCCAGGAGACCCCACUGAAGGCCUGGCUGUACCAUCAUAGGCUGUGUGCCCUUGGGCAAGAACCUCUACCAUUCCUCGUUGCCUGUAUAUAAAUUGAAGGCUUUGCUCUA